GUGAGUAACGCGUGAGAAUCUGCCUACAGGUUCGGGACAACAGUUGGAAACGACUGCUAAUACCGGAUGUGCCGAGAGGUAAAAGCUUAAUGUGCCUGUAGAUGAGCUCGCGUCCGAUUAGCUAGUUGGUGAGGUAAGAGCUUACCAAGGCGAUGAUCGGUAGCUGGUCUGAGAGGAUGAUCAGCCACACUGGGACUGAGACACGCCCCAGACUCCUACGGGAGGCAGCAGUGGGGAAUUUUCCGCAAUGGGCGCAAGCCUGACGGAGCAAUACCGCGUGAGGGAGGAAGGCUUUUGGGUCGUAAACCUCUUUUAUUGGGGAAGAAGCACUGACGGUACCCAAUGAAUCAGCAUCGGCUAACUCCGUGCCAGCAGCCGCGGUAAUACGGAGGAUGCAAGCGUUAUCCGGAAUUAUUGGGCGUAAAGCGUCCGCAGGUGGUUAAUCAAGUCUGCUGUUAAAGCGUGCGGCUUAACCGCAUAUCGGCAGUGGAAACUGGUUGACUAGAGUUCGGUAGGGGUCACGGGAAUUCCCAGUGUAGCGGUGAAAUGCGUAGAUAUUGGGAAGAACACCAGCGGCGAAAGCGCGUGACUGGGCCUGAACUGACACUGAGGGACGAAA
rnacentral:rRNA from 1 species